UCCGAUUCCCGUUAACUUAACCGGGCUCAUUAAUCAUGAAGCAAACUUCUCUUAUCAUCUCCUGGUACAUAUGUUACCAUCUCGUGAUCUCUUUCGACUUCAAAUUGAUUUCAGUUCGACUUCAGUUAUAUAUUCUGGAUACUUUGACCACUGCAAAGAAUGCAAGUAGAUUAGAGUUGACAUGUCAAGCAUAAAAAAUAACUCAGUUGUAAUCCUCUGAAACUUUUUACAGUCACAACAUAGAGUAUAAGAAGCUACAUUGCGUGUUUCCAGAAGAACAGAACCAAAUAAUAGCGGAAACGGUUUUUAAGAAAACAGAACGGCAAGAGUAAUAGGAAAGUACAUGAAAGCACACCACACUAUUAGCAAGUGCACAUGGUAGAUUGCCCCGCUCCAUUCACCCUACAAAAAAUUACAAAGGCAUGACAUUCAGCCCCUAGAUCAAUCCAUAGAGAUUAAUGAUUACACAUACGAGCUAGCCUGGAAAAACAUUUGCCAUGAACCAUGAAAAAUGACUUGAACUUCAGAUGUUCGACUAGAUAUGGGAUGCGCUGAUAUUGACUAUUUACCUAGCUUCUGUGCCCCAUAGUCGUGGAAAGAAAAGUUCUAUCAGCGCACAGAAGGUGAAGUUCUAUGUUUGCCAAAUAGCUAUAGGUGCAGAAGAUAAGUCAUGGGUUUAUGUUUGCACUACUUAGGUGCUAAUAAGAUCUCAUUUUCUGAUAGCUAAAGAUAUAUCUUCUAGUGAUUAGUAGCCGCAUACGGUUUAUACAAGAUUUAUGAGUCCUAGCAGAAUGAACAGCUGGGAGAUCACUUUGCUUCUAAUGGUCAAGGGCAGUCAUAAUUCCUGAACCAGCUCCAUGGAAAAAGACAUUAAUUAUGAUAUCCGAAGUUUUACAUGCAGCAGGCACACUUGGAUGAUUUGUAAAUAUUGAUCAGAAUUUAUUCUCAGAUUAUUUCGACAUUUUUGUGUUCUUAGAUUAGGGGUGAUGGCAAAAUAAUGCUCCUACAGUGUCAUAGACUUAUAGUUGAUGAAAAUAUUUAUAUUACUAUGACACUUGCCUCACAAGUAGAUCAAAGGCUUUAGUUGGGUUACCUUGACUCUCCCAUAAUCACACCAAUGUACCUUUUCCAGAUUCGACCCAUGUAAGUAUCGAUUUUACUCUUCACAGCCCUGAAUUUCUGGUUAUGAUGAUGCAAUCCAAUUUUUGUCAUCUGGAGUUGCUUCAAAACGACUAAAAAAUUCGAUUUCAUUGUCCCAGUUAACUUCAGAUAUUGCUUCUCAACUACAAACCAAAAAGAACGUACCUGUAGAGUAAUGAGUAAUUAAAAAGCAUGACCAAUUUGUACAAGAAAGAACCAAAGCUCAUAUGUAUCUCAAUGUCCGCAUCAAUCUGAAUAUCAGUGUUGACAAGUUACAUGUGCAGACACAAUCAGAGACAAUAAAAUUAAAAGGCAUAACUAGUCCAGACACCAAGAGCCUGCAUUUUAAUGAUGAAAGAAAACAUAUUUGAGCUCUAAAAAGAUUGUAUCUUAGAAAAUUAGAUAUCAACUGAAAGUGCAAGUGAAGCUGAUGCUUGAAAAAGAAUCCAAGUACGGGGCCUGCUGGCCUAAUGGUUGGUCAUUGGUGUUACAGUCAACAAUUUAAAUGAAAAGUAACAAUGAGGCUUAAGCCGGAAACAUUUCAUUAAGUAUAGAUCAACUUUUUAUUAUUAUAAGCAUAUAAUAUAUGAUAUAUAAAAAGACUUCAGGGGCAUAAAUAAAUGUGAAAAUGUAAUCGAGAGCAUCAAACGGCUAACAUCCAACACAGAGAAAAAUACAAGCUUUACACAUCCCUGCUAAUAUCACUUUAAAACAUACAAGCCAAAAGGUCCACAAACUACUUGUACUGGUUGUAGACCUUAUGAGAGUAGAGCUAUAGCAAUUAAACAGUCAUUUCCAUAUAUCAGAUAUAUAUCAAGAUUGAACUUAAAAUAGAUAUGAACAUAAGACAUACCAGGAAGGAUGGCUGUAAGCGCAACAUCAGCAUGUAGCUUUUCUCCAGUAGUUGGCCUUUAUUUAAUCCCGUAAACACAUGCCCAUUGAGGACCUGAUGGUGGGAGAGAAAUUACAGUAUCCACCUUUGUUUCCCUAAUGUUCACACCAUGCAAAGAAGACCUCUCAUCAAACAACCUGAAAUAUCUUUAAGAGUAUUUUUUUCGGUAGGUGCGCAUCCUUUUCUUUGACUCUAGAACGCAUACGAGAGGAAUGAGAUGGAACAUAUAUUGCUGGACCUCCUGACCUAUAUAUCUCUAGCAAGUGGCUGUGAUGGUACACACAAAGGUUCAGGAUUUCUUAUAUCUUGUGACGCACUUCAUCUGCCAUGUCUUUUGGCUUUCUGAGUUCACCAACAACUAAGGCAGGGUUACAAUAUGUCCAAGAUAACAAAACAUGAUUAUCUUGGUGCUUUAAUUGCAACCUUCUUAAAAGAGGGGCCGGGCUCAUCAUGCAAUUGUGUUUCUUGCUCUAAAUUUUUAUCAUCUUGCUCAAAACAAUGUAAAUGUGAAAGUAU
rnacentral:lncRNA from 1 species